rnacentral:snRNA from 1 species
GUGCUCCCUUCAGCAACACAUAUACUAAAAUUAGAAUGAUACAGAGAAGAUUAGCUUGAUCCCUAUGCAAUGAGGACACGCAAAUUCAUGAAGCAUUCCAUAUUUUU